AUGACCGCAAUAGAUGAGGACUAUCUAGUCAUUGAAGAUGAAGAUUGCUAUAGUGUUGUUCGUGAUGAUGCCAUGAGUUGGGUUGUGGAUUCAGGUGCGUCCUUCCACAUCACAUCACACAAGGAGUAUUUCACAUCUUACACUAGUGGUGUUACUGGCCAAGUGAGGAUGGGAAAUAGUGGUUCGUCAGCAAUUGUUGGCAAGGGCUCUAUAUGCAUUGAAACAAACACAGGUUGCAGAUUGGUGCUCGAUAAUGUGAGGCAUGUUCUCGACAUAAGGCUGAAUUUGUUGUCAGUGGGCAAGCUUGAUGAUAUCAAACAUCCUAGUUAUUUUGGUGAAGGAAAGUGGAAGCUCACCAAAGGCUCUUUGAUUGUGGCUCGAGGAAGUAAGCAAGGUAAUCUCUAUGUGACUAAAACCAAGUUGUGCAAUGAGGUGUUGAAUGUUCCGGAAAAAGACACUUCGGUUGAAUUGUGGCACAAGAGGCUUGGGCAUAUGAGUGAGAAGGGCAUGCAUGCUCUUGCUCGCCAUGGAGUACCUCCUGAGUUGAAAGGUGAUAUUCCUCAGAGAGUUUGGUCAGGGAAGGAGGUAUCAUACAAGCACUUGAAGGUCUUUGGCUGCAGGGCAUUUGUACAUGUUCCAAGGGACGAGAGAUCCAAGCUUGAUAGCAAGACAAAGCAGUGCAUCUACCUCAGCUAA
rnacentral:rRNA from 1 species